rnacentral:rRNA from 1 species
AGACGUCUACAUUAGAUACCCCUGUAGUCCCAGCCGUAAACUAUGCGCGUUAGGUGUAUCGGUGACCACGAGUCACCGAGGUGCCGAAGGGAAACCGUGAAACGUGCCGCCUGGGAAGUACGGUCGCAAGGCUGAAACUUAAAGGAAUUGGCGGGGAGCACCACAACGGGUGGAGCCUGCGGUUUAAUUGGACUCAACGCCGGGAAGCUCACCGGAUAGGACAGCAGAAUGAUUGCCGGGCUGAAGACCCUGCAUGACUAGCUG